rnacentral:rRNA from 1 species
GACGAACGCUGGCGGCGUGCUUAACACAUGCAAGUCGAACGGAAAGGCCCUGCUUUCGUGGGGUGCUCGAGUGGCGAACGGGUGAGUAACACGUGAGUAACCUGCCCUUGACUUUGGGAUAACUUCAGGAAACUGGGGCUAAUACCGGAUAGGAGCUCCUGCUGCAUGGUGGGGGUUGGAAAGUUUCGGCGGUUGGGGAUGGACUCGCGGCUUAUCAGCUUGUUGGUGGGGUAGUGGCUUACCAAGGCUUUGACGGGUAGCCGGCCUGAGAGGGUGACCGGCCACAUUGGGACCGAGAUACGGCCCAGACUCCUACGGGAGGCAGCAGUGGGGAAUAUUGCACAAUGGGCGGAAGCCUGAUGCAGCAACGCCGCGUGCGGGAUGACGGCCUUCGGGUUGUAAACCGCUUUCGCCUGUGACGAAGCGUGAGUGACGGUAAUGGGUAAAGAAGCACCGGCUAACUACGUG